UACAGAGGAGCCAAGCGUUGUCCGGAUUGACUGGGCGUAAAGCGCACGCAGGCGGACGCGCGCGUGGGGUGUGAAAUCUGGCCGCUUAACGGCCAGGCGCCAUCCCAUACGGCGCGUCUGGAGCAAUGCAGAGGUCGGUGGAAUUGCCGGUGUAGUGGUGAAAUGCGUAGAUAUGCGGAGGAACACCGAUGGCGAAGGCAAUCCCCUGGGCCUGCACUGACGCUCAUGCACGAAAGCGUGGGGAGCAAACAGG
rnacentral:rRNA from 1 species